rnacentral:rRNA from 1 species
UACGAUCGGUACGGGUUGUGAGAGCAAUAGCCCGGAGAUGGGUUCUGAGAAAAGAACCCAGGUCCUACGGGACGCAUCAGGCGCGAAAACUUUACAAUGUGCGAAAGCACGAUAAGGGAACUCUGAGUGCCUCCUAAGGAGGCUGUUCAGGUGUCUAAAAAGCACCUGGAGUAAGGGCUGGGUAAGACCGGUGCCAGCCGCCGCGGUAACACCGGCAGCCCAAGUGGUAGCCACUUUUAUUGGGUCUAAAGCGUCCGUAGCCGGUUGAGUAAGUUCCUUGGGAAAUUUGGCUGCUUAACAGUCAAGCUUCCAGGGAAUACUGCUCGACUUGGGACUGGGAGAGGUCAGAGGUACUCCAGGGGUAGGGGUGAAAUCCGUUAAUCCCUGGGGGACCACCAGUAGCGAAGGCGUCUGACCAGACCAGGUCCGACGGUGAGGGACGAAGGCUAGGGUCGCGAACCGGAUUAGAUACCCGGGUAGUCCUAGCAGUAAACGAUGCGGGCUAGGUGUUGGCACUACUGCGAGUGGUGCCAGUGCCGAAGGGAAGCCGUUAAGCCCGCC